rnacentral:tmRNA from 1 species
ACCCUUUUUUCCUCAACCUUUGCAGACUAUAUUGAGGAUGCCGGUUCGCCGGCUAUGGAAAUAAAUGGCCGUCGCAAUAAACCAUUCGGACCCGGGGGCAGUACCCGGCGCCUCCACCAGAACCCAAUUCUGACCAUGGAUCAUCGCCAUGGGACGACGGGUUCCGGCGGGGGCGAAACAGGAUCGACGAGGGCGUAAAGGGCUCGCUUUUUCCCGGUAUUGUUCCGCCGUUAUCGGGCUAUGCAAUAGUUGCAAACGACAACUAUGCUCCGGUUGCUCAGGCUGCGUAACGCAGUUUGAAAGACCACUCUGAAGUCCUAACGGGUUAAGCUCCGUUAGGCGGGGUUCGGAGGCACCUGGCAACAGAAGCCUCCACU